GCUCCCUCCAGGUCACAUCUGAGAUCCUGAUGUCUUGCAGAGCAAGAAUCAAGAUGCAAACCAUUCAUAUAUGGGAAUUCCUAAAUUUAAUGGCAAUUCUUAUACAUACUGGAAACACCUCCUGGGCCCAGGCAAGGGGCAGUUCUGCCAUACAACUGCAACACAUCCUUUUCUGAAUACAGAAUCAUAGGCACACCGAGCACCAAAAGUGGAUCCAUGCCUUCAAACCAGCCUCUCGCCUAUUCCCAAUCCACAUUCCAAUAGGAUUGCAAGAGACGUGGGAAAACUGUGCACUGAAAUGAAAUGGCCCAUGAGGGAGGACUUGAGUAAUAGAGCAAUACACAUUAAUACAUGAGCAGUUUGCAUCUAAGCAGAAUCCACAAUUUUAAUGGAAUAUAGAUCAGAAAUGAGUUAAGAAUUACACAUAAUAAACAUUCUCCUGUUA